AGUAAUGACUUGUCUGUGCCUGGCAAACUCAAGAGACGAAGGCCAGCAAGGGCCCGUUGCGGAAAGUGUCAUCAUCAUAAUCAUCAUGGCCAUCUAGUGACGUCCAUAAGAGAUGCCUUACUGAGUGCCAGCCUGUGAGUGAAUGGAUGUUCGGUCCUCAUUGCAACUCCACAGGGCCCCUGAAGAUGUGAGCUCAGAAUUUCCUGCUUCUGCUGCCACGCCUGCUGCUGGCUGCUGUGCCUUCCUGCCAUCAUCAAUGCCCAGCCCUCUGGAAUUACCACUCUGUGAGAUGGAACCUAUGCAUGAGUCUACUGAAGUGGUCAAGAACCUGAGACUAGAUAUGUCAAGGGGCUAGGGGAAAACCUACAAAAAAAAAUUAAGAAGGAAGAGGAGGAACAGAAGAAAAAGAAAGAGAAGCAACAACAACAAGAGCAGUGAAGGAGAGGCCUGCUCUGCACAAAGGGAAUGGUGCACCCAGGGAAAGGCCCCAUUCAGCUAAGCUUCCACUUGUGAAAGAGAGCCUAAGGCAUUUUAUGCUCUUAGAAAGCAGCCGAAUAUAAGUGUCACUGCUAGCGUAAUUCAGGGUGGGCGGGGUCCAUCCAAAACUGUCAUCCAAGCUUGUUGUUGCUGACCUUAGAGGCAAAAGGGAUGCAAGAGGGCAGAGGUCGCGGAUGCUUCAUUCAGGAUUUCAGAGAGCCAUUGAAGACAGGCCAUAUGUGGCAGAGAAGUCCUGGUGUGAAGCCUUGAGAGGACAAAAGGCUGUGAGAGGACAUUGGGUCUUUGCUGUGAAAGUGCAGCCUUGAUUACUGUGAGGUCACGAGGUGUUAGACGUGCCAGAGGCAUGAGACAUGCCCAGGAGAGCUGCAAACAGGGAGGGAGCCAUGGCAAAGGAGAGAUGUAUGUCUCAGGUAGCAAAGCUGGAGGGUCAGGUCUAUCUAAUAUCUUUGAAACUGAUAUCCCAGGAACUGGACAUAGAGCUACAGAGCUUGGUAUUUGCCUUGCUGGGUUUCAGUCCUGCUUUGGGCCAAUGUUUCUUCACUAUGGCCUCAUUCCUUCCCUUUGAAAUGGAAAUGUAUAUCCUGUGCCAUUAUCUAUUGGAAUAUGUUUUACUGUUUGAUUUUAUGGAAAGUUGCAAUUAAGAGAUUGCCUUGAGCCUCAGAAGAGACUUUGGACUUAAACAGUGUUAAGACUGUGAAAGACUAUGAGAAAAUUUAAAGUUGGCCUAAAUGAAAUGGCCACAAGCCGACUGGAGCAGAAUGUGUUGGUUUUAAUAAAAAAUGUCCACUAUGGGACAUUUGGCUGGUGCUGUUUGGGGGCAUUUAGGUGGUAUGGCCUUGCUAGAGGAAGUGUGUGACUUGGGGUGAGCUUUGAAUGGCUUAUUUUCACAUGUCAAUUUGCCCUCUCUGCUUCAUGACAGUCUUGGAAGAUGUGAACCCUCAGCUGCCCACUCCUGCCACCAUUCCUGCUGCUAUGCCUUCCUGCCAUGAUAAACUCUUA